rnacentral:rRNA from 1 species
AUUGAACGCUGGCGGCAGGCUUAACACAUGCAAGUCGAGCGAGCGGCGGACGGGUGAGUAAUGUCUGGGAAACUGCCUGAUGGAGGGGGAUAACUACUGGAAACGGUAGCUAAUACCGCAUACCAUCGGAUGUGCCCAGAUGGGAUUAGCUAGUAGGUGGGGUAAAGGCUCACCUAGGCGACGCUCGCUAGCUGGUCUGAGAGGAUGACCAGCCACCCUGGAACAGCGACACGGUCAAGACGCCUACGGUAGGCAGCAGUGGGGAAUAGUGCACAAUGAGCGGAAGCCUGAUGCAGCCAUGCCGCGUGUAUGAAGAAGGCCUUCGGGUUGUAAAGUACUUUCAGCGGGGAGGCGUUACCCGCAGAAAAAGCACCGGCUAACUCCGUGCCAGCCGCCGCGGUAAUUC